UGGGGAAUUUGGACAAUGGGCGAAAGCCUGAUCCAGCAAUGCCGCGUGUGUGAAGAAGGCCUUCGGGUUGUAAAGCACUUUUGUCCGGAAAGAAAUCCUUGGCUCUAAUACAGUCGGGGGAUGACGGUACCGGAAGAAUAAGCACCGGCUAACUACGUGCCAGCAGCCGCGGUAAUACGUAGGGUGCAAGCGUUAAUCGGAAUUACUGGGCGUAAAGCGUGCGCAGGCGGUUUGCUAAGACCGAUGUGAAAUCCCCGGGCUCAACCUGGGAACUGCAUUGGUGACUGGCAGGCUAGAGUAUGGCAGAGGGGGGUAGAAUUCCACGUGUAGCAGUGAAAUGCGUAGAGAUGUGGAGGAAUACCGAUGGCGAAGGCAGCCCCCUGGGCAAUACUGACGCUCAUGCACGAAAAGCGUGGGGAGCAAAACAGGAUUAGAUACCCUGGUAGUCCACGCCCUAAAACGAUGUCAACUAGUUGUUGGGGAUUCAUUUCCUUAGUAACGUAGCUAACGCGUGAAGUUGACCGCCUGGGGAGUACGGUCGCAAGAUUAAAAACUCAAAGGAAUUGACGGGGUCAUAGCUGUUUCCU
rnacentral:rRNA from 1 species